AGCAGUUCUUGGGUGACACAUCCCGGAAUCGGGCUCCCUCCUCCCAGGUUCUGGGAUGCAUCACCCGAGAACUGCU
rfam:Myotis brandtii contig244237, whole genome shotgun sequence.